GCUCAGAAACGUGAGGGGGUAUGCAAGAGGGCUCUGAGCCUAAUCUCAGUAGUCAAGAUUUUUAUGUCACAUUUUUAAACAAAAUUAUUGCAAAAGAUCCACUGUGAACAAAAAAGUCACAAUUUUACCCCAACAGAAUCUGACGGGGCCAGGAUUCGGGAAAGUCAAGUGAGGGCCUGAGUAGAGUGAGAAGCCUCACCCCCUUCCUGGCUCAGCUUCCAGGAUGUAUUUCUGUUGGGUCUCUGGGGUAAGAGUGGGGUCAGCACUGGGGAAUUUGGAGUCCAUUUCUCUACCCCACAACACAAACGACGUGGUUGUCACAGCUACAGUCCUCACCUGUGUCUCCACGGAUCCUUGGAGCUGGAGAGGAAUGGCCUGGGCUCCAGGUGGUA